UAAAGUCAUGCUUCUUCUGAUCGUCUGU
rnacentral:piRNA from 1 species